CAGAUAUUAUUCAGCCUGCAUCGCCGUCAUGAACGCUGGUAAACCUAUCGUUUCCUCUAAAUUGAAGGUGCUGUAAGAAGUGAGGUGUCCUUCCCUGUUAGGAGAUAAACCACCUAAACAAGGUAUAACCAUAUGGAACUAAUAAAUCCAUGAAGACCGAUCCCAUAGUGAUGCCCCCAGUCCCCCAGCCAGGUCCAGACAUGAUAAAAGAUCACAGCGCAGUGAUCUCAGCAGCCCAUGGUGACAGGCAUGAUGGAGUGACUGAGACUGGGAGAUUGGCCUUCCCAUUGCCUUGGUGUGUUCCAGAAAAAGGUCCUGAAUCUACUGGUUGACAACCGCCAUCGCCUGAAGGAAACGCAGCCUGCCUCUUCAGCUGUCCCUAUAGAGAGGAUUGACACCAUGGAGGACUGAGUUACAGGAGCAUCACCUCUCUGAUGCACAUGCCUUUGAUACCCUGCUUUGCAGAAGGGAUCAUGAAAUUCGGUUCCACAGCCACUGAGGAGUACAUCAAGCUGAACGUUUCUGAGCACCUCAAGCACACAUCACAAAGACUUGGAGGUGGAGGAUUGACUACGCCCUGAUGAGCCAAGCCUACAGGAUUUGAAUUAAGAGCUUUAAAGGGAUAGUUCACUUUGGAAUUAAUUUUUGGUAUGUUUUAGCUUACCUCAAGGGCAUCCAAGAUGUA